rnacentral:misc_RNA from 1 species
GAUGAAGAACGCAGCGAAAUGCGAUAAGUAGUGUGAAUUGCAGAAUUCAGUGAAUCAUCGAAUCUUUGAACGCACAUUGCGCCCCUUGGUAUUCCAUGGGGCAUGCCUGUUCGAGCGUCAUUUGUACCCUCAAGCUUUGCUUGGUGUUGGGUGUUUGUCCUCUCCUUUGCGUUUGGACUCGCCUUAAAGCAAUUGGCAGCCAGUGUUUUGGUAUUGAAGCGCAGCACAUUUUGCGAUUCUAGCCGAUAAUACUUGCGUCCAUAAGCCUUUUUUCACUUUUGACCUCGGAUCAGGUAGGGAUACCCGCUGAACUUAAGCAUAUCAAAAGCGGAGGA